UGGAAAUGAUGAAAUAGAGAUAAUUGGGUGUUGAAUGUUGUGUGAUUGGAAAAUUUUAAUGUGUGAGUCAUGUAAUUAAGCUUAAUAUUUUAUAGAUACUUAAUAGUGUGUGUGUGUGUGUGUGUGUGUGUGUGUGUGUGUAUGAUCAUGGAGGCUAUUGAAAGGGGGCACUGAUUGGUGAUGCUGAUAUUGGAGUGCAUCUGAGGCUGUUGUAGAAAUACACGGGCUGUUGAUUACAACAUUGCCAAUGAUUAUAACCCAAGAACAGCUCACCUAAGUAGCCUAGCACCCUAACAUCUCUAACAGGUUCAUUAAACAUGGUCCUGUGAUCUGAUCCAA